CAGUCGCCGCGGGAAUACAGAGGAUGCAAGCGUUAUCCGGAAUUAUUGGGCGUAAAGGGCUCGCAGGCGGUUUCUUAAGUCUGAUGUGAAAGCCCCCGGCUCAACCGGGGAGGGUCAUUGGAAACUGGGAAACUUGAGUGCAGAAGAGGAGAGUGGAAUUCCACGUGUAGCGGUGAAAUGCGUAGAGAUGUGGAGGAACACCAGUGGCGAAGGCGACUCUCUGGUCUGUAACUGACGCUGAGGAGCGAAAGCGUGAGGAGCGAACAGGAUUAGAUACCCCCGUAGUCCCUGUCUCUUAUAC
rnacentral:rRNA from 1 species